rnacentral:rRNA from 1 species
GGGCCCGCACAAGCGGUGGAGCAUGUGGUUUAAUUCGAUGAUACGCGAGGAACCUUACCAGGGCUUAAAUGGGAAAUGACAGGGGCAGAGACGCCCCUUCUUCGGACAUUUUUCGAAGGUGCUGCAUGGUUGUCGUCAGCUCGUGCCGUGAGGUGUCAGGUUAAGUCCUAUAACGAGCGCAACCCCUACCGUUAGUUGCCAGCGUGUAAUGACGGGGACUCUAACGGAACUACCGGUGCAAACCGUGAGAAGGUGGGGACGACGUCAAAUCAUCACGGCCCUUACGUCCUGGGCCACACACGUGCUACAAUGGUAGGUACAGAGGGAAGCCACCCCGCGAGGGGAGCAGGA